CCUAAACGUUGAAUGGGCAGCCCGAAAAAAACUUGAACAUGAUUUUAGGAGCAAUCGGGUUGUUUACCCAUUGGUACCACAGCAACCAAACUCAGUUGACUGUGGAGUUUAUGUCAUGAAAUUUGCAGAGAUGUUAAUUAAGGAACCAUUGACUGGAGAGAUGUUGAUGAAAAUUCCUGAUUUUCGCCAAUCAUUCGAUCAUGCCGAGAUAUCAGCCAUGCGAGAACGAGUCAAAUCACUUUUGUCAACAUUAUAAUUCUUGUAUUUCGAACGAUUUCUGAGCAAAUCCUCUGUCGAUAAUUACUAAUUUAUCGCUAAAUAUACAUGUUUAUUUAAAAAAA